UUCCAGCCCCUCCCCCCCAUUGACAUUAGGGCCAAGCACCUCCCCCGCUCGCCGUCCCUUCCCAACCAGAAGACCUGCACCGACAGGUUUUAAGGCGGCCGAUGUCAUUUGUACGCAGUGGCAGUGGGCGGCGUUCUGACUUUGCCCCCAGCCGAGAUAUGGAGGGGAGAGGAUUUGGAGAAAAAGAUAGGGGAGUGGGACCUGCAGCUGCGACUUCAGCCUUGAAAUCCCAAAUAGAUGGCUUAUCCGGGGGUUUCUGACUGGGAGACCCGUUUUCCCCUCCCGUGCUCCCUCUCGUCUUAUUCACCGGACUCCAGUUCAACAGGCAUUUAUUGAGUGCAUCCUGCAGGAAGAGAGCUCUGCGCCAGGUUGCUGGGCUCUGGUGCAGAGAUGGGGAAGGCAGGGAAAAAAGACUCAAAUAAUGUGUGCAUUCGAAAAGGUUCAAACACAUCCGGCCGUGAAGCCGGGAGGGAGCAGAUGCGGCGGUGGGCUGAGAAGAGGACCGAGAGGGAGUCGGUAGAUUGGAGAACCAAAUGCCCAGGCUGCAAAGCGGUGACUAUUUAUAGGAGAAGGAGGACUGCAGGCGUUAUGAAAGUACAGGUGAGGAAUGCUCAAUCCCCUUAUCUGAAGAGCUGCCAAAUCUUCUCCCAGGCCGAUUUUUCCCAGCUAAGCUAAGGAAGAUUUUUGCAAGCAGGAGUUUCAAAAUAAAGGACACUGCUUUCUUGGACCGAAAGAAGGAAGUAUCUUUUGGUUGUUCUCAGAACCGGAAAGGCUAGAAGGUCUGUUUUGUUCUCUCUAUCUCUGUCUCUCUCUCCCCCUUCCUCCCUUUCCAAAAACUAAACACACAGAGAGGCUUAAAAGGUCUGUUUUGUUCUCCUUGUCCUUCUUUUUCUCCCCUUCUCCCUCUCUCUCUCUCCUUUUCCCCUUUCCUCUCCCUCUCCUUCUCCCUCUCCCCCUCUUCCCCCCACCCAUCUCUCCCCAUUCCUCCUUUCCAAAAACCAAGCACACCCAGAGAGGCUAGAGGUCUGUUUUGUUCAUUCUCUCCCUUUCCCUUUCCCUGUCCUUCCCUACCCGCCCCCCUCUACCCUCUAUCCCUAUCUCUAUUUUGGAGCAUUCUGCAGCCUUAUCUUAACUGACUGAAUCAAACAUCCAUUGACCCAUGCAAUAAUUAAAUGAACCAUAGGAUUUGAAUCUAGAAGGGAUCUUAUAGAUCAUCUAAUCCAACCACAGCAUUUUAUAAACAGAAAAACAAAUUGAAUUCAAACCCAGAUCCUUUGACACUGAGGUCACUGGACUUUUAACUAUACCAUAUUGAAGAUGAGGAAAUAUUGACCUUUCCUUUUGAUGACAUAUUGCUUCUUGGUGCCUGCCUUUUUUUACUUCCUGAUGGAGGAAAGAUUUGUCAGACCCUCCAAAGAUCAUCUUUUCCCAACCUCCUGCUUUCAGUAAUCACAGGCCAUUCUCAAAUUCUGAUAAAUGAGGGCCUCCAUAUGAUAUAUAGGUUCUUAACUUUUUUGUGUGUUAUGGUCCCUUUUGGCAUUCUGUGAAGCCUUUGUACCCCUCCUCAAAAUAAUGUUUAUAAACUCACAAAAUAAAACACAGGAUUACAAAGGAAACCAAUGAUAUUGGAAUUGUUAUGGUUACAAAAAUUAAAAAAUAAACAAACAAAUUCAUGAGCCACAGGUUCAGAACUCGCCUCCCUCUCUCAUAGUUGGGAAGCUCCAGAGAAAUAGUCCCUUCUCCUUCUCCUUCUCCUUGAAGGGUAAAUUCUCAUAAAUGCCUUAGUAAAUUCUCAUAAAUGCCUUAAUAUUAGGAGUUAGUUCCCUCUUUUGGAGGAGGGAUUGUUGCUCAGAACAUCUGUCUCCCUUCUCUUUCCCUUUCUCAUAAUACCUUGCAUUCUUUUCAAUACAAUGCAAAAAGAGGAUUGUGUCCUAUCCAUAGGAGUCUACUUAUAUUGACAGUAAGGGAGAAUGCUUGACUAGCUGUUUUGGCUAUAGUAUAUAGUAUAUCACCAAGUGGUGAUACACUCAGCCCUGAGCUAUCACCUGAAAAACUGUGCAAAUAUGAAGUUUUAAAACCUGACUAUCUUUAUCUUUUCUCUGGACAUGUGCAAACAGUAUCUGUCUGGUUCCUGCAUUUUUCAGCCUUUCCUUUUAGUUUCCCUCUGGGUUCUAGUCUUGAGCAUGAUUUAAACUUGUAUGUUUACCUCCAUUCCCAUUAGAUCCUAAUCUCUUUUCCCUAACUUCUUAUGAACCAAAGAAUUACAGAUUCACAUAUAGAUUACAUUUACUAAACAAAAAGCAUUAAAGCCUACUGUGGCUUGAGUAAACCAGACUCCCUUAUGUUAAUAUGAGUUUUCCAACUUGAGUUCCAACUCCCACUGUAUACAGCAAAAUAUUUAUAACAGCACUUUUUGUGCUAGCAAAGAAAUG